UUGAUUACUUCACUGUGAAUAACAUAAGUUAGUUCACUAACUUAGUUCACUAGUUAUGGCAUCGAGAAGUGAGAGAUUUGUUGAACAGCACUUCCUCUUGUCGAAUCGACUAGUUCAAUUCAUAUUGGGACUGCGUUCUAAUCAAAAUUCAAGAAACCAGUUGUUUGUGGUUUCUGCAAUCACUGUGUACAUAUUGCCAAUAAUUGUCUAUGAGCUGUAUCAACUAUUGACGAUGGAUUUCAAUUUGACAACGACUGUCAUAGAGCUUCGAAAGAUAGUAGCAUUUCUUAUUAUGAUUUCUGCUUAUAGUACCACUUACUUUCAGUUCGUAACUGUAAGAUUACUUUUAUUUCGUAUUAAAUAUGAUUGUGAACACAUGUCUGAUGAGAUGGAACUGUUCAUUGUGGAAAAAUAUACGAAGAAAACUAAGACGUAUGCAUAUGCUGUCAUAGAUUGAAAAUACAGCAACAAUUUACAAAUGAUUCAAAAUAUUUACAAAGACCUUGCCAAGAGUUUCAUUGGAUAGUAGACCUUAUAAAACGUUAUAGAUAUGUUACGGAGUAUGUGGAUUUGAUAAACUAUUUUUCCAAUGUAAUUUACUUAAUUGUGGUUUUUCUUGGGAUGACCAUCGUUGUAAUUGAUCUCCUUUGUAUAUUUCAAAUAUCUAUAUUAUUACAAAAUGCAUCAAAAAUAAUCGAGUUCACUAUCUACGUUAUGGGUUCUAUAUUUACCACAUAUAUUAAUUUUUAUAUUGGCCAAGAGAUAUUGAAUUAUAGCAAUGCAGUUUUUGAGGAAUUGUGUCAAAUUCCUUUCUACUUAUUGCCUAUAAAAACUCAAAAGAUAUUGUUAUUUAUGAUAGCAAGAAGCAUGAAGCCAUGCAUGCUUUCGAUCGGUGGAUUAUUCGUUUCAUCGCAUGAAGUUUUUUCUCAG